UACGAAGGGUGCAAGCGUUACUCGGAAUUACUGGGCGUAAAGCGUGCGUAGGCGGUUUGUUAAGUCUGUCGUGAAAGCCCCGGGCUCAACCUGGGAAUGGCGAUGGAUACUGGCGAGCUAGAGUACGGUAGAGGAGAGUGGAAUUCCCGGUGUAGCAGUGAAAUGCGUAGAGAUCGGGGGGAACAUCAGUUGCGAAGGCGGCUCUCUGGACCAGUACUGACGCUGAGGCACGAAAGCGUGGGGAGCAAACAGG
rnacentral:rRNA from 1 species